AUUGAACGCUGGCGGCAUGCCUUACACAUGCAAGUCGAACGCGAAAGGGGGGCAACCCCCGAGUAGAGUGGCGAACGGGUGAGUAAUACAUCGGAACGUGCCCAGUAGCGGGGGAUAACCUCUCGAAAGAGAGGCUAAUACCGCAUACGUCCUACGGGAGAAAGAGGGGGAUCGCAAGACCUCUCACUAUUGGAGCGGCCGAUGUCGGAUUAGCUAGUUGGCGGGGUAAUGGCCCACCAAGGCGACGAUCCGUAGCUGGUCUGAGAGGACGACCAGCCACACUGGAACUGAGACACGGUCCAGACUCCUACGGGAGGCAGCAGUGGGGAAUUUUGGACAAUGGGCGAAAGCCUGAUCCAGCCAUGCCGCGUGGGUGAAGAAGGCCUUCGGGUUGUAAAGCCCUUUCGGCUGGGACGAAAAGGUCUGCGCUAACACCGCGGAUCCAUGACGGUACCAGCAGAAGAAGCACCGGCUACUACGUGCCAGCAGCCGCCGUAA
rnacentral:rRNA from 1 species